rnacentral:lncRNA from 1 species
GCCAUUUUCGAGUGAUGCCUGAUCUCAUCAAUCUAGCGGGAGGGAAGGGAUAACCUGUCCGAGCCUAGCGCGACGCUAGGAUCACGCCGGAAAAUCCCCCAAAAAUCAUCAAAAAAAUUAACUUAGAGCAGAGGGCAGUCGGUGGGGCUUCGCCAGAUGCGGCGCAGUCGAUUUUAACCAUUAGAAGAAUACCAGUUCUGGAAAACAACCAAAGUUUCUUUGAUUGAAUGCCCAUGUAAUGCAUUGGAAUAUGAUAGGCGAUUAAGGUUUAACAAUGUUAAAAUGAAGAUAUUACUAAAAUGGCCCUCUAAAUAGCCCAACAAUUAUUAUUUUCAUUAAUUCUCUCUCUCGGGCAGAAACCUACGUGUUCCUCUUCCAGAGAGCUGGUGAAGCCAAAGGCAUUCUCAUAAUGAUGCGCUACACCGACUGACAUUUACCAACUGUGUCAAAGCUACAGGAGCCAGGUAGACACUGCUGGAACUUUAACGGGAAUCAAACAAGUCUAUAAGAAGCACUGAGCUGUGCCACUACCCAAUCAGUGUUCUUCCAGAGCACACAAACGAAAGUGGGAGGAGCCUUCCAAUGAGAACUGUUGUGUGAUUAAUCAAUGAGGCUGACUAAAGCACACACUUAUAAUCCCAAUACUCAGAAAGACAGAGGAAGAAGGAUAUCAGCGCAAGGCCAACAAGGCUUCAAAGCAAGUACCAACCCAGUAUGGACCAUGAGACCCUAUUUCAGAAACAAAUAAUAAAAGCUUGAUGAAGCUGCAAAAA